GGGCAUCGGUGUGUUUGUCCCCAGCAGAAGAGCAUAUUGAGUCCGGAUCAGUCUUCUUCGCUGUGUUCAGAAACAUUUCUCCAGCGCGCACGGACACCACUCUUGACUAGAUGCCAGUCUCAGCAUCUGCACCUGCUCACGCGUCACGCAGUGACGUAACACUGCCAAACAGGAAAAUGCCCAUAUAAGGAUAAGUACGUGUUGGGAUUCCAGCGCUGAGCGUGUGUCUGGACUGAAGCUGCUGCUGCUGCUUUGUGUUUUGUGCAGUGCAUUUGCGUUUUCCUCUGGAAAGGGCGUUUAGACUCCUGUCAGGAGCACAGAUGCGCAGACAGCAAAGCAUAGCUGGAACGGUUCCAUGUAGCCUACCCAGUGUAUAACCACAGAAUAUGGUAUUGAGACAUUUUUCCCAAUUAACCAAAAAUAUAGUCCAUGUGGAAUGGGAUUUGCGUUAUUUGUGAAGAACGAA